rnacentral:piRNA from 4 species
UGAGAAUUCGUCCGCUCCCGAGGCUGAGC